AAUAGAUACCCAGGUAGUCCACGCCGUAAACGAUGAGUGCUAAGUGUUAGAGGGUUUCCGCCCUUUAGUGCUGAAGUUAACGCAUUAAGCACUCCGCCUGGGGAGUACGGUCGCAAGACUGAAACUCAAAGGAAUUGACGGGGGCCCGCACAAGCGGUGGAGCAUGUGGUUUAAUUCGAAGCAACGCGAAGAACCUUACCAGGUCUUGACAUCCUCUGACAACCCUAGAGAUAGGGCUUUCCCUUCGGGGACAGAGUGACAGGUGGUGCAUGGUUGUCGUCAGCUCGUGUCGUGAGAUGUUGGGUUAAGUCCCGCAACGAGCGCAACCCUUGAUCUUAGUUGCCAGCAUUUAGUUGGGCACUCUAAGGUGACUGCCGGUGACAAACCGGAGGAAGGUGGGGAUGACGUCAAAUCAUCAUGCCCCUUAUGACCUGGGCUACACACGUGCUACAAUGGACGGUCAAAGAGUCGCAAGACCGCGAGGUGGAGCUAAUCUCAUAAAACCGUUCUCAGUUCGGAUUGUAGGCUGCAACUCCG
rnacentral:rRNA from 1 species